rnacentral:rRNA from 1 species
UCGAACGCUGGCGGCUGCUUAACACAUGCAAGUCGAACGGAGUGGCGAACGGGUGAGUAACGCGUGAGCAACCUGCCUAUGACAGUUGGAUAGCCUCGGGAAACCGGGAUUAAUACCGCAUAGUCAUAGAUGGGCUCGCGUCUGAUUAGCUAGUUGGUGAGAUAACAGCCCACCAAGGCGACGCUCAGUAGCCGGUCUGAGAAGAUGAACGGCCACAUUUGAACUGAGACACGGUCCGAACUCCUACGGGAGGGAGCAGUGGGGAAUAUUGCACAAUGGGGGAAACCCUGAUGCAGCGAGGACGCGUGAACGAAGAAGGUAUUAGUAUCGUAAAGUUCUGUCCUAUGGAAAGCAGUACCAAAGAAGAAAGCUCCGGCUAAAUACGUGCCAGCAGCCGCGGUAAUUC